rnacentral:rRNA from 1 species
CCUACGGGUGGCAGCAGUGAGGAAUAUUGGUCAAUGGCCGAGAGUCUGAACCAGCCAAGUCGCGUGAAGGAAGAAUGCCCUAUGGAUUGUAAACCUCUUUUGUCAGGGAGUAAAGUUACCCACGUGUGGGUGUUGGAGAGUACCUGAAGAAUAAGCAUCGGCUAACUCCGUGCCAGCAGCCGCGGUAAUACGGAGGAUGCGAGCGUUAUCCGGAUUUAUUGGGUUUAAAGGGUGCGUAGGCGGGUUAUCAAGUCAGCGGUAAAAUUGUGGAGCUAAACGCCAUACAGCCGUUGAGACUGGUGAUCUUGAGUGGGCGUGAGGUAGGCGGAAUGCGUGGUGUAGCGGUGAAAUGCAUAGAUAUCACGCAGAACUCCGAUUGCGAAGGCAGCAUACCGGCGCCCGACUGACGCUGAAGCACGAAAGCGUGGGUAUCAAACAGGAUUAGAUACCCGGGUAGUC